ACCAGGAUGGCAGUGGUUAAGGUGUGUUGGACUUAAGAUCCAAUGGACGAUAUGUCCUCGUGGGUUCGAACCCAACUCCUGGUA
rnacentral:tRNA from 1 species